AAAUUGAAGAGUUUGAUCAUGGCUCAGAUUGAACGCUGGCGGCAGGCCUAACACAUGCAAGUCGAGCGGAAACGAGUUGUCUGAACCUUCGGGGGACGAUAACGGCGUCGAGCGGCGGACGGGUGAGUAAUGCCUAGGAAAUUGCCCUGAUGUGGGGGAUAACCAUUGGAAACGAUGGCUAAUACCGCAUGAUGCCUACGGGCCAAAGAGGGGGACCUUCGGGCCUCUC
rnacentral:rRNA from 1 species